rnacentral:rRNA from 1 species
UACAGAGGUCUCAAGCGUUGUUCGGAUUCAUUGGGCGUAAAGGGUGCGUAGGUGGCGCCGUAAGUCAGGUGUGAAAUUUCGGAGCUUAACUCCGAAACUGCAUUUGAUACUGCGGUGCUUGAGGACUGGAGAGGAGACUGGAAUUCACGGUGUAGCAGUGAAAUGCGUAGAUAUCGUGAGGAAGACCAGUGGCGAAGGCGGCUCACUGGCCCAUUACUGACGCUGAGGCACGAAAGCGUGGGGAGCAAACAGG